UUCCUCAGGUUCAUAAGCAUGAUGAUUGGGUGUUCAUGCUUGAUGCAUGACAUGUGCCUCCUUUGAACCUUGUUACGACCUUGGCACAUUACCCAUCUGACA
rnacentral:snoRNA from 1 species